rnacentral:rRNA from 1 species
CAGUCGCCGCGGGAAUACGAGGGGGGCAAGCGUUGCUCGGAAUUAUUGGGCGUAAAGGGUGCGUAGGCGGCCCCGCAAGUCUCAUGUGAAAUCUUCAGGCUCAACUUGAAGUCUGCAUGGGAAACUGCGGGGCUGGAGUAUGGGAGAGGUGAGUGGAAUUCCUGGUGUAGCGGUGAAACGCGUAGAUAUCAGGAGGAACACCUGUGGCGAAAGCGGCUCACUGGACCAUAACUGACGCUGAGGCACGAAAGCUAGGGGAGCAAACAGGAUUAGAUACCCCCGUAGUCCCUGUCUCUUAUAC